UUUCCGGAUCGAGGACACCAUGCAGUCGAGCGAUCUCUUCGGAGAGAGCGGCGGACGGGUGAGUAACGCGUGGGUAACCUGCCCUGUACACACGGAUAACAUACCGAAAGGUAUACUAAUACGGGAUAACAUAUGAAAGUCGCAUGGCUUUUGUAUCAAAGCUCCGGCGGUACAGGAUGGACCCGCGUCUGAUUAGCUAGUUGGUAAGGUAAUGGCUUACCAAGGCAACGAUCAGUAGCCGACCUGAGAGGGUGAUCGGCCACACUGGAACUGAGACACGGUCCAGACUCCUACGGGAGGCAGCAGUGGGGAAUAUUGCACAAUGGGCGAAAGCCUGAUGCAACAACGCCGCGUGAGCGAUGAAGGCCUUCGGGUCGUAAAGCUCUGUCCUCAAGGAAGAUAAUGACGGUACUUGAGGAGGAAGCCCCGGCUAACUACGUGCCAGCAGCCGCGGUAAUACAUAGGGGGCUAGCGAUAUCCGGAAUUACUGGGCGUAAAGGGUGCGUAGGUGGGUUUUUCAGUCAGAAGUGAAAGGCUACGGCUCAACCGUAGUAAGCUUUUGAAACUAGAGAACUUGAGUGCAUGACAUGAUAGUAGAAUUCCUAGUGUAGCGGUGAAAUGCGUAGAUAUUAGGAGGAAUACCAGUAGCGAACGCCGCUCUCUGGACUGUAACUGACACUGAGGCACGAAAGCGUGGGGAGCAAACAAGAUUAGAUACCCUGGUACCCACGCCGUAAACGAUGAGUACUAGGUGUCCGGGGUUUACUCCCCUCGGUGCCGCAACUAACGCAUUAAUUACUCCCCCUGGGAAGGACGCUCGCCAGAAUGAAAUUCCAAAGAAAUGA
rnacentral:rRNA from 1 species